GGGAAUGUGGCUUAGUGGUCUAAAGUGCCUGCCUUGCAUGAAGCCCUGGGUUCAAUUCCCCAGUACCA
rnacentral:tRNA from 1 species